rnacentral:rRNA from 1 species
CCUACGGGAGGCAGCAGUGGGGAAUAUUGGACAAUGGGGGCAACCCUGAUCCAGCCAUGCCGCGUGUGUGAAGAAGGCCCUCGGGUUGUAAAGCACUUUCAGUGAGGAAGAACGCCUGGUGGUUAAUACCCAUCAGGAAAGACAUCACUCACAGAAGAAGCACCGGCUAACUCCGUGCCAGCAGCCGCGGUAAUACGGAGGGUGCGAGCGUUAAUCGGAAUUACUGGGCGUAAAGCGCGCGUAGGUGGCUUGAUAAGCCGGUUGUGAAAGCCCCGGGCUCAACCUGGGAACGGCAUCCGGAACUGUCAAGCUAGAGUGCAGGAGAGGAAGGUAGAACUCCCGGUGUAGCGGUGAAAUGCGUAGAGAUCGGGAGGAAUACCAGUGGCGAAGGCGGCCUUCUGGACUGACACUGACACUGAGGUGCGAAAGCGUGGGUAGCAAACAGGAUUAGAUACCCGGGUAGUC